rnacentral:rRNA from 1 species
UACGAAGGGGGCUAGCGUUGCUCGGAAUCACUGGGCGUAAAGCGCACGUAGGCGGAUCUUUAAGUCAGGGGUGAAAUCCUGGAGCUCAACUCCAGAACUGCCUUUGAUACUGAGGAUCUUGAGUACGGGAGAGGUGAGUGGAACUGCGAGUGUAGAGGUGAAAUUCGUAGAUAUUCGCAAGAACACCAGUGGCGAAGGCGGCUCACUGGCCCGUUACUGACGCUGAGGCACGAAAGCGUGGGGAGCAAACAGG